rnacentral:rRNA from 1 species
GACAGAGGAUGCAAGCGUUAUCCAGAAUGAUUAGGCGUAAAGCGUCUGUAGGUGGCUUUUUAAGUCCGCCGUUAAAUCCUAGGGCUCAACCCUGGACAGGCGGUGGAAACUACCAAGCUGGAGUACGGUAGGGGCAGAGGGAAUUUCCGGUGGAGCGGUGAAAUGCGUAGAGAUCGGAAAGAACACCAACGGCGAAAGCAACUCUGCUGGGCCGACACUGACACUGAGAGACGAAAGCUAGGGGAGCGAAUGGG